AUGUGAUGUGGUUGUCUGUUCAUGGAUGCUCCAUAGUUGAUGCGUCUAGUUCCUGGAAGGUGAGUGAAAAGACAGUCUUGUCGCAAACACAUCCUCCCACGGAGGGAGUAACGGCAGAUUUUUGGUACCUUUUUGUUUGUGUGUGUG